CCCUAACAUUACCAGUUGUCUCACUUGGGUCCCCAUUCAUUUUUCUGUCACAUUUAGGUCUUCAAACUAUUUCUUUUGGUGCAUGUGGGGACAGAUGAAUGGAAAUAGUUCAAAUUUCUAUUAUAUAAUCACUCGAAAGGCAUUUAUGUUAGAAUUUGGAAUGAAUUGGUAGCAAUAGAACUCAUUGCAUGUGUUAAUCUACAAUAUUUCAAAGCAUCAUGCCAUUGAAAUUUAGGAGCGUUAUAAUUACGUUGUUAGGUUGGUGAUAUGCGAGGACAAAUUCAAGACUAUCCCAUCAAAGUUUGGACUUGGUAUGGUAUCAAACUCUCUAAUAAGUUUUGAGGAAAAAUUGGAUGAAAAAUGAUGCGGAUAGAUAUUUGUCAGACGCUUGUGAAGAUAUAGAAAAGAAUGAUUUGAUGUUCUCAAUUGAAUGGGGGUUAAUGGACAUAAGUAUGGUACUUUGUCCAAACUUGCAUGGAAUGUUAUGGCAAUUCAAGCAUCAACGUGGGUUCAAAAAAUGUUUUUAGUGUUGG
rnacentral:lncRNA from 1 species